ACGGGCGAACAUACCAGCACUAAUGAACUGGAGCCCAUCAGAACUCCGCUAAUAAGCAUGCAUGGGUGAGAGUAGUACUAGGAUGGGUGACAUCAUGGGAAUUCCUCGUGUUGCACCUA
rnacentral:rRNA from 2 species